GCCCGCUAGCUCAGUCGGUAGAGCAUGAGACUCUUAAUCUCAGGGUCGUGGGUUCGAGCCCCCCACGGCGCU
rnacentral:tRNA from 1 species